CUCACAUCCCCAGGAUGGGCUGUGCAGCCGACCUUAACCCCGAAGCAGAGAGCUAGCUCUUCUUCGGUGUACCUCCAAGCUGGCAUCAGUUUUUCACUGGUGGACUGCACAUGCAUGGUUGGAGGGCCCCCAAGGGAUUGACCAGUGGGUAUUGCCUACCACCUCUUGGUGUGUCAGCCAGCUGUAGAAGCAGCUGUGGAUGCCGGGUUUGUGCUUCACUUCUCAACCUGGGCAGAUUCUGAGGUAAGUGUGUGCAUAACACAGGAGCCACGAGAAAGCACACGGGAGCCCAAAACAGAAAAGGGACAGUAGUGAGUGACCCCUCUCGGGUCGUUCACACCUGCCCUACUCACCAUGGCCCGGACAACCUGCUCCCCAGCAUCUCAGCAUCCUGAGACUGAUGGCAGAACACUGUCUUCAAGCACAAGUCAUGUUUUCCAUGAAGGCCAAGUUCUCCUGUCUGAAGAUCUCUCGGUUCCUGGAAGUCUAUUCCUGAACAGCAGAGAGCUUUGGGUAGGUUUCCC
rnacentral:lncRNA from 1 species